rnacentral:rRNA from 1 species
GAGUCUUCCUCUUUAAGCCCACACAGUUAUUCGAACGGCCGCGCAGAGGAGCUUGCUCCUUGGGUGGCGAGUGGCGGACGGGUGAUGAAUACAUCGGAAUCUGCCUAUUUGUGGGGGAUAACGUAUGGAAACUUACGCUAAUACCGCAUACGACCUACGGGUGAAAGCGGAGGACCUUCGGGCUUCGCGCAGAUAGAUGAGCCGAUGUCGGAUUAGCUAGUUGGCGGGGUAAAGGCCCACCAAGGCGACGAUCCGUAGCUGGUCUGAGAGGAUGAUCAGCCACACUGGAACUGAGACACGGUCCAGACUCCUACGGGAGGCAGCAGUGGGGAAUAUUGGACAAUGGGCGCAAGCCUGAUCCAGCCAUGCCGCGUGGGUGAAGAAUGCCUUCGGGUUGUAAAGCCCUUUUGUUGGGAAAAGAAAAGCAGUCGGUUAAUACCCGAUUGUUCUGACGGUACCCAAAGAAUAAGCACCGGCUAACUUCUUGCCAUCAGCCCCGGUAAUACGAAGGUGCAAGCGUUACUCUGAAUUACUGGGCGUAAAGCGUGCCUUAGGUGGUUUGUUAAUUCUGAUUUGAAAAACCCCUGGGCUUAAACCUUGGGGAAAUUGCAUUGGAUUCUGGCAUGCUAAAAUGCCGGAAUAAGGGUAACUCGAAUUCCUGGUUUUACCAAUGAAAUCCUUAAUAAUUGGGAUGAACAUUCUUGGCGAAUGUGUACUUCCCUGGACCAAUCAUUUACCCUUAGCCUAAAACCUUUGGGAGCAAACAGGAUUUCAUUCCCUUGUAUUUCCCUCCCUAAACCAAUCUACUUGUAUUUUGGUUUAAUCUAAGAAAUCUAAUUUUCAACUUACCUCGUUCU